CAGCCGCCACGGUAAUACGUAGGUGGCAAGCGUUGUCCGGAUUUAUUGGGCGUAAAGCGAGCGCAGGCGGUUCCUUAAGUCUGAUGUGAAAGCCCCCGGCUCAACCGGGGAGGGUCAUUGGAAACUGGGGAACUUGAGUGCAGAAGAGGAGAGUGGAAUUCCAUGUGUAGCGGUGAAAUGCGUAGAUAUAUGGAGGAACACCAGUGGCGAAGGCGACUCUCUGGUCUGUAACUGACGCUGAGGCUCGAAAGCGUGGGUAGCAAACAGGAUUAGAUACCCCCGUAGUCCCUGUCUCUUAUAC
rnacentral:rRNA from 1 species